rnacentral:lncRNA from 1 species
UUUUCAGCAGUUUUUCAUUUUGGGAGAAGUUAUUUUAGCUGGAUUUUGUAAGGGACAAAUAAACAAUUGCUUGUUCCUAUUCUAAUGCAUUAUCGACACACUGUGAAUCAUCUUAUGAAAGAAGCAGCAGUAGCACUAUGUGUUUUUCCAUUACAUUUAACUUCUUUUGAGUUAAGAGAGAGAUGAUACACCAACACCACAGCUGGUGUGUCUCUGUUAUCGUAGACUUGGACCAAAAAAUCUUAGAGGUUAAUCCAAUUCCUCUCUUCAAUGUCUAUUUCACUUAGUUCAGAAUUUACAAGGAACAAAAACCAAAAUGUAAUUAAGUUGUAGGAAGAAGGGUAUCAGCUUUUAAUUAAAGUGUUCAGGCUUAGAAUUUCUAGCACUGAGCAAUGCAGUAACAGUUUAUGGCUGAUAUGAAAUAACAAAUGCCUCUCACAUAAGUCCAUUUUUCCAGAUUUUUAAAAUUAAACGAAUUCAUUCAUAUUUGUGUUCUUGCUUUAGAGAGGCCAUAUAUUUUAAUUAAAAAUCAUUUAGAACCAGUAGGCUUCUGCAGCCAGACAUUACGUUUCUGUUCAUUUCACCAAACUCAAUGCCUGUGCUUACGAAAUACCACUCUUAAAGAGGGAUGUGUGCUCUUUUACUCCAGGGUAUAGCCUCUUUGAGAUUCAUUGGUAAACAACAGGUGGAUGGAAUCUGUCUUCCUUCAAAACCCCUCAGCAUGUCCUCUUGAGUAUAUUAUUUUUGUGUCAGGGCAUUCGUGAUUGAUAUGAACAGUCUGUAGUACUUUAAUUACCAUUUUUUACCUUGAAAUUAUGGCAAAAACCUUAGGAUAGCUGUUUCUUAUAUCCCUAAAUCCAAAGUAAAAAGAUUUCCUUUUUUGUUAUUUUUAUUUUUUAUUAACCUCAAAUUGCACCAACAUAUUCAUAGUGAUUUCUGAGACCUUUUUUUUUUUUUUUCUAAAUUAACAUUGCCAUCUUCAGUUUGUUUCCUAUCCACAGAUUUGUUUUUAUUGAUACAGAUCUUUUACACUUUUAAACUCAGUCUCUAUUUACCUGCGUUCUUUGGAAGAGAUAACUGUGAUGGCAGAAAUAACUCCAGUAUGACCAAAAAUGAAGAGAUAGGAGCUGUAACUUCACUGAAAUACAAGUAUCUCCAGUUGGCAAGCAUACAUCAAAAUCACUCAUAAGGAGGUGCUGGCAAGUGGCUUCACCAUGUGUAAAAUUGCAUUGGCAAAAUGAAAUCUGGAAGGGAAUAAUUACGUGUCGGAUUCUAGAUUAGGCAGAUAGUCUUCAUAUAAUCUCUCUGCAACCUCCACACAAUCUCCAUGCAAUUAACUGUUAGUGAGGUAGUGAACCUCCCAAAGGCAAUCCAUGAUCCAAUUUGGUUUAGGUGCUCUGAAUAGCCCUCUGGGGGCUCCUCUCUUUCUCCGGUGGCCUAAGAGCUAACUCUUCAUGUAAUCCCUAGGGUUAGGCAUCUAAAGUAGAAUGUACCAAUUCUCUCCAUCUUAUCAAAUUUAUGUCCCUGCUUUGAUAUGCUUAUCAAACUAUGUCCCUGUUUCUCCUACUGUUUAAAGAACAUACUCUUAGUUCCAAAAGCAAUUCCAUAAACCUCGAGCUGAUAUAAACUUCUUCUCCUGACAUAAACUGCUCCCUCAGGCAAAGCACAGGUCUGGUGAAGUCUGGUUGUUUCUGGGACUAUCUUUUCCAAAAGGGAGAGGGAGGGAUCUCUGAGUCAAAACCCAUUAACUGAAAUCACCUUGAAAAAGCAAUACAGAUUUAGAGACUGUCAGUUCAACCACUGAAUUGGCAUUUAAAUGAAAUACAAGGGGAAAAGAAAUCUCAGCAACAUACAGGUCAGGCAUUUGCCUGGGACUUGAAGAAGUAGUAGGCAUCUUUUCUGUGUGUACGAGCAUAAAUAUUAAUAGACUCUCAGAGGUUCUGCAGUGAGAUUCAUGGAGCUGACUUUGAGAAAACUGCAACUGAGACAAAUAGAUUGAAGGUGGACAGCAGGUUAAGUAUAAAAUUAUUAUUUGUGCAUCUGUUCAAGAGCCAUUUUAAUUUUUGAGCCCCAAGAGAAAAAAAAGUGUCAUUUUGAAUGCACAAGAGUUUGUAAGAUUUAAUGAUUCUAUUAUGGUUCCA